rnacentral:rRNA from 1 species
GAUGAACGCUGGCGGCGUGCCUAACACAUGCAAGUCGAACGGAGUCCAGCCUUUAAGACCUUCGGGUCAGAGAGGGGAAGACUGAGUGGCGGACGGGUGAGUAACACGUGGGCAACCUGGCUCAUAGAGGGGGAUAACAGAGAGAAAUUUCUGCUAAUACCGCAUAAGCACACACUGCCGCAUGGCAGAGGGUGAAAAGAGAAUCGCUAUGAGAUGGACCCGCGUCUGAUUAGCCAGUUGGCAGGGUAAGAGCCUACCAAAGCGACGAUCAGUAGCCGAUCUGAGAGGAUGAACGGCCACAUUGGGACUGAGACACGGCCCAAACUCCUACGGGAGGCAGCAGUGGGGGAUAUUGCACAAUGGGGGGAACCCUGAUGCAGCGACGCCGCGUGAGUGAAGAAGUAUUUCGGUAUGUAAAGCUCUAUCAGCAGGGAAGAUAAUGACAGUACCUGAAUAAGAAGCCCCGGCUAACUACGUG